rnacentral:rRNA from 1 species
CCGAAAGGCAGGAGUGCCUGCAAGGGAGCGCGGAGACAGGUGGUGCAUGGCUGUCGUCAGCUCGUGUCGUGAGAUGUUGGGUUAAGUCCCGCAACGAGCGCAACCCUCACCUCUUGUUGCCAUCAGGUCAUGCUGGGCACUCUAGAGGAACUGCCCCGGACAACGGGGAGGAAGGCGGGGAUGACGUCAAGUCAUCAUGCCCCUUACGUCCUGGGCUACACACGUGCUACAAUGGCCGGUACAAAGGGAUGCCACACCGCGAGGUAGAGCUAAACCCAAAAAGCCGGUCUAAGUUCGGAUUGGAGUCUGCAACUCGACUCCAUGAAGGAGGAAUCGCUAGUAAUCGCGUAUCAGCACGACGCGGUGAAUACGUUCCCGGGCCUUGUACACACCGCCCGUCACACCACGAAAGCCAG